rnacentral:rRNA from 1 species
UACGGGGGGGGGCAAGCGUUGUUCGGAAUUACUGGGCGUAAAGGGCGCGUAGGCGGCCUUCUAAGUCAGACGUGAAAUCCCUCGGCUCAACCGAGGAACUGCGUCUGAUACUGGAAGGCUUGAAUCCGGGAGAGGGAUGUGGAAUUCCAGGUGUAGCGGUGAAAUGCGUAGAUAUCUGGAGGAACACCGGUGGCGAAGGCGGCAUCCUGGGCCGGCCCUGACACUGAGACGCGAAGGCGUGGGGAGCGAACGGG